GAUGAAGAACGUAGCGAAAUGCGAUAAGUAGUGUGAAUUGCAGAAUUCAGUGAAUCAUCGAAUCUUUGAACGCACAUUGCGCCCCUUGGUAUUCCAUGGGGCAUGCCUGUUCGAGCGUCAUUUGUACCUUCAAGCUUUGCUUGGUGUUGGGUGUUUGUCUCGCCUCUGCGCGCAGACUCGCCUCAAAACAAUUGGCAGCCGGCGUAUUGAUUUCGGAGCGCAGUACAUCUCGCGCUUUGCACUCAGAACGACGACGUCCAAAAGUACAUUUUUACACUCUUGACCUCGGAUCAGGUAGGGAUACCCGCUGAACUUAAGCAUAUCAAUAAGCGGAGGA
rnacentral:misc_RNA from 1 species